rnacentral:snoRNA from 1 species
CACAGUACUGACAAAUUGACAAGUUUGACCAUCUUUACGGUGUUAUUUUGAAACGCUGUGAGAUUAAUAGAAAAGCGUCGGCUUACGCUAUGUUAUGCGAAUGUAGUUAAAUGCCCCUAUUCAGCGUAACACGCAGCCUCGUUACAA